AUACUUACCUGGCAGCGAGGACGUGUUGAUCAAGUAGGACACUUCUCCGGGGUGAGGCGCAGCAUUGCACUUCGCGAGCGCUGACCUCUGAAGCUUACCCAAAUUGGGUAAAGCUUGCUGUAAAAUUUUUGAGUGUGGGGCUUGCGUUCGCGCUACCCCGGU
rnacentral:snRNA from 1 species